rnacentral:rRNA from 1 species
UCCGGGAUAACCUCGCGAAAGCGUUGCUAAUACCGGAUAUUGCCCUAAUGGUUGUGACCUUUGGGAUGAAAAGGCAACCUCUUCAUGAAAGUUGUCGUUCAGGGAUGGGCCCGCGUACCAUUAGCUUGUUGGUGGGGGUAACGGCUCACCAAGGCUACGAUGGUUAGCUGGUCUGAGAGGAUGAUCAGCCACACUGGAACUGAAACACGGUCCAG